UGAUUACUGGUACUCUGCUCAAUUCUUCCUUUUUACUCAGCCAAGGACCUCAGCCACGGGAUGGUGCUGUCUCCAACUAGGAUGGGUUUUCCCACCUCAGUUAAUUCCCUAACAGACACACCCAAAGUCUGUCUGCUGUGUGACUUGAGAGUCUGUCAGUCAUUUCUUGAACCAUUGGCUAAUUCUGUAAUUCUUUCCUGUUUCAAAGUCACAAAUCCUAGCUUGCAUAAUACAGUUCCUAAAAGAAUACAAAGUCUCCUGCUGAGGACACCAAGCAGAACUGAGCAUCUGUCCAUGUCACAGCCAACAGAAUGAAUAGAACUGCCUAGAUGCUCUUGUGACCCCGUGGGCAAUACAGGGACCACUAUCACAAAGGCCAUGGUGACUGCCACCAACUAAGUGAGAGAGUGUCCUUAGUCUCUGACCUAGAUGCCUGCUCACGCCUUUCCGAAGAGUCCAUGGUGCUGAGACAGGCUAACUUUCAAGCUCACAAGUGGAUAAAAUUUCAAGUGUGUGUUUCUUGGUCCUACUGAUAACAGACUCUGCUAGUUAAGUCACCCACAGAACCGAAACCCAGCAUUGGCAAUGCAUGCUUCUCAGGUGAACAAUUUCAGGGGGAUCCUAUCAUUCCAAUGACUCUGUCCCAGGAGUGUAUUAGAUACACAGAAGAAUGAAAAAAACAAAAAAAAAAACCAUGAUCCUUUUAGCCUGUUCCCUGCUAAGAUGAUAAAUCGAAAAGGCAACUGGAACCAAAUUGUGUCUUUGGUUAUUCCACAGAUGAGAAAUAGUCCUUAUUCUAUGUAAUAGGUUUUAAGUCAAAACACACCAGAACUAAAGUAGCACAUUUAGCCAGAUACUAAAGAUACCUACAUGAUACAAUCCCAUCCUAACAAAGAGAGGUUUGCAUAUCACACUACAGGGAGGAUGCAAAGAAUUUACAGUCUUCAUUCCAGACAGAUGGAACAGAUCUUUAAAAUAUGAAAAUAAGCUUCUGUUUUUCAUUCCUCAAUAUCGACAUGCAAAACACACACACAAAAAAAAACUUAAUGAAAAUUUAAAGGUCAUUUUUCUUUCCACUUAUUUCUAUUUGAUCUGUUGAGACAUUUUAAACAUUGUGCAAAAUAUUUGACUAUAAUUGAUUUGGUUUAAAGGUUACUGUCAGGUGUUACAUUUUAAAUGUAAAUUUGUAUAAUCAGAAUGGUAAUUCUCCACCAACAUUGCUAUUUAUAUAGACUUUUUAAUCCAUCACUCUCUAGAACCUUACUUUUUACAUUGUGUGUUAUAUGUGUGCUCGUGUAUGUGCACAGAUACCUCUCUCUCUCUCUCUCUCUCUCUCUCUCUCUCUCUCUGUGUGUGUGUGUGUGUGUGUGUGUGUGUGUGUGUGUGUGUGUGUGAGCACACACUCGAGUGCUUGUGGAGGCCACAACCUGAAAUGGUUCUUUUUGAGAUAGAGCCUCUCACUUGCCUGGAAUUCCAUCACACUUCACUGGCUGGUCAUGGGCCAGGGUCUACCUUUCUCUGCUUCCUUGGUGUGGGGAUCACAAACUCACAGUACCAGGCCAGUUCGUCCUUCCUUCCUUCCUUCCUUCCUUCCUUCCUUCCUUCCUUCCUUCCUUCCCUUCCCUUCCCUUCCUUCUUUUCUUCUUCUUUUUUUUUAUGUGAUUUAUGGAAAUAAACCAGGCCCUCACACUUCAAAGUCAAGUAUUUUAUUGACUGGACUAUGUCCUAGCCCUAACUCCUAAGUUUUCACUUUAAAAUGUAUUUAUUUUUAAGUGUAUGUGUAUUUGUGUGGGGGUGUGCUAGAAGAGGAGACUGGAUUCCCUGGAGCUGGAGUCACCAGUGUUGUGAGCUACCUGGGGUGGAUACUGACAACCAAACUCAGGCCCUCUGUCAGAGCAUCAGGUGCUCUUAAUCACUGAGCCAUCUCCCCAGCUCCAGUUUUCACUUUUAAAAAUAUUUUCUUGAUGCCAUUCCAAGAUUUUCAAACACAAAUACUCCAACAGAAUUUUAAAUCAUAUCUUAGUCAUGCUGGGAAGAAUUCAGCCCAGCAGGAAAAUCUGUAAAAACCACAGAGGUAUGUAGGGGAAAUGUUAGCCACACCCUCUUGGGGGCUGGCACAGAUGACACAGACCAUGCACACUUGGGCAUGGUCAGAGUGACGUAGCAUGACCUUAAAUAUGAGGGUGGCUCUCUCUGUUCCCUGACCUGCCUUGUGGUACAAGACUGACUCUGUGGCAGCUACUUGGAGAUGCUGGAAAAUGUCUAGGGCAGCAAACAAGGCUAGUCCUGGAAAGAACCAGCACAUGGAGAUCCGGAUGUAGAACUCUCAGCUACUCCUCCAACACCAAGUGUGCCUGCCACCAUGGUCCCCAGUGUGGUGACAUGACAAUGGACUAAACCUCUAAAACCUACAGCAAGCCCCAGUUAAAUGCUUUCUUUUUAUAAGAGUUGCAGUGGUCGUGGUGUCUCUUCACAGCAAUAGAAGAGUGACUAAGAUAUUAGUGAUGGCUGGGAGUCACCAGCAUGCUAGAGCUAGAGCUAAGGAGCAGGAGAGUUACUCAAACAUAUGGAAGGCUUCCUGGCCACAGCUUCAUGGAUGACAGCCAACUCACCAGCCUGCGGUGACUCAGCAUACAGAGAGCCAAACAAUGAAGCCUGUGACCUCCUCUUCCUUCCACCAGUCUCCUGUCCAUGCCUCAGCAACCAAACCCAUCCAGUGGCAAAGGACAAGGAAGUUCCUGCUGUGGUCCAUGGGGUGAGUCAGCUUCUCAUAGAGAGAGGAAGAAAGACAGACGAAGAACUUGUCUAAAUUGCAGCCAUUCAGGCUGCACAUGAGGAAGGGGUAGUCUCAAUUUUGCAAAUUUCUUUAAGAGACAUUUUCUGUUGCUGAAAGAAAUCAAGGGCUCCCUAUGAGAAGUGAGGCGAGCUGGAAGUCGUCUAGAAUCUGAGCUGCCAUGCUGGAGACAACCAGAGGUUAUUUAGUGAGUCAUUCUUGUAUGAUGAGAAUAUUUUAAAAAUAACUCUCAGGGGAAAAAUGUAUUAUGAAUGUAUAUGCAGAACUCCUGCCUCAAUUUUUGCUAGUAAAACCCCAACUUACUGAAGGGACCAGCUCCCCUUUCGGCAGUCAUAAUGGCCAAACACAUGCUUGUCUGACCUUGUCCUAGACACUAGAAAGUCAGAUGCCUGCCUCGUGACAAGGAACCAAUCAGAAGUUAGCUGGUGGCGCUAUGCUUUACCACCCUGGGUAUACUUUACGGACAAGCACACAACAAUGACGCGGAGCAUAGCAACCACCCUGGGAGGGCCUAUGGGCCAUAACAACCAGUUGGCCAAUCAACACAGGGCAAACCCUCCAAGCCUGGAGGCACACCAAUAGUGAGCCUGAGCGUACCCCUAGACACUCCCCUUACGCUGCCCUACAAGAUCUCUUGGGAGGCCCUAGGUCUUGUCUUUGCUAGCCAUCCACCACGGUGGGUGGGUGAAAGACCCGAGCUAACAUGGGGUUAGCUCGUUAAAAAAACAAUAAAGCCUCGUGCAGUUUGCAGCAAGCUCUCGAAUCUGCCUGGUGAUUGGGGUGACCUCGGUCGUGGCCUGGGACCCCGGAUACCUGAGUUUUCCGGGGGUCUAACAUUACAAGAUGGGAAAUGGCAGCUUGAGAAGGAUGGGUGUCAGACAAGUUUUGCCAUUUUUCUUAGAAACUAUCCAGAGGGAAUAAGCACACUGAGAAACAAACAGACGAGCAAACGCCACUUUUGGCAUCACAAGGUGAAACUCAAACCACACAAACUGCAGAGGGAGUGGGUCCCAGUGGACAGGCGGGCUGCAAGAGGUAAGAGGUGUGUUCACAGUCCCUGGUUGCAGAUCAGGCUGAGGGACAUUCCAUGGUAAAGAUCGUGGAGGAGAGAUGGCAAGCCAAGUCUAAGUCAGAGGGAGGCCGACAUGCAGAGAGACUGGAGGCAGAAGGAAUGUGGGCAGGGCUAAACAAAAUUUGGUGAAUCACACACAUUUGUAGGUUGGUCUCAGUCUGCCAGCAAGAAAACCAUUGAGUAGCCUAGAAUUUGGCUUUAGAUGGUACAAACUAAGGUAGAUCACCACCUAAACCCUGACUUGUGCGAGAGAGGGAGAGAACAGAGGAGACAGGGGAGGACAGGGACACAGUGGAAUUUUCAAAGGUGUGACCCCAGUGACCUACCUCCUCCACCUAGUCCCCACUUCCUAAUUUGUCUCUCUCCUAGCACUGCCACCAAGUUAUGAGUCCACCAUUAGGGUCAUUCAUGCCGUAGGUGAGAAUCUCAUGACAUAGUGGCCUCCCUCAAGUUCUUCCCUGAGUACUGUAGCCUUCAACAUGUGAACGUUGUAGGCUAAUCAUAAUACACACACGCGCAUGCACACACACACACACACACACACACACACACACACACACACACACACUUCUGACCUAACUACACCUGUGCCUUGUUGCUAAAACAUCUGGCAAAGUACAAUAGUAAUAAAGUGAGUGACAGAAGGUGGACGGGACAGGGAACUCAAAGGUUGAAGAGACACCAGUGUGGAGUAAUGAGACUCGUUUUUUUUUGUUGUUGUUGUUUUUCUUCCUCUUAAUUACCUGCUGGCUUUGAUCUGAAGGCUGGCUGAAAGGGGAACAACCAGAAACAAUCAGAAAACAAGUUGGAGAAACCUUAGCAUCCAACCACAAGGCUGCUGGGAGCAAGAUCAUGAGUUGUGAACUACUCAUGGUUUUCCUUUCCGAGAUUAGCCUGGUCAAGAAGCUGACAUCUAAGACAGGGAGGAAAAACAACAACAACAAAAAAAAAAAAACAAAAAAAACAACUGUCCUUCUGGAGCUGUGGUUCUCAACCUUCCUAAAGCUUCGACCCUUUAAUGCAGUUCCUCACAUGGUGACCCACAGGCUCUAACAGGCUGGAGCACGGCAAACAUGGCACCGAUGGGUUUUGCCUUUUUCUCCCUUUCCCUCUUCCUUGCUAAAAACUGUAAGAUUACAUUUCUAAAGUUAGUCCCCACAGCACACUCCCUUAUUUGGUCAUUAACUCAUUCCUGAGACUAAACGCCAAGAUCCAAGACUCAAAAUUCAUUAUUUGGCUAACAUGUCCAAUCAGGACUUACCAGCUCACCCUAGCACAGAUCCCCUUUCUCCUUAAAAAUCCACUCCUGCAAAAAUCACCUGCUUGCUGGUGUUGCUUGUGUCUGCCUUGGUGCCCCCACCUCCCCCACCCCUGCCCCAGUCAUGUGUGCACUUGCCCCUUAAGGGUGAUAGAAUUUGGUGUCUGAGUGUGUCCUGUACUGACUCUGAGGGGAAACACUCCCUUGCUUAUUCUUAUUACUAUGUCAUAACUGUAAUUUUGCUACUUUAUUAAUCAUAAUGUAAUAUCUGUGUUUUCUGUGGUCUUAGGCCAUCCCUGUGAAAUAGUCCUUUGACCCUCAAAGGGUUUGCGACCCACAGGUUGAGAGCCACUGUUCUAGAGAGAGCCCCUGGGGAGUGGGGCUCCUGGGAGCAGCAGAGAAUGGCGCUUUGAAAGGCAUGUUGAAGGGGCCUAAUUCUGGGUGGUUUGUUAUGUAGCAAAGGAUACUUAAUACAGGGGUUCAUGCCUGUCCUAGCCUGCUUCAAUAAAACACGGACCAAGAACAACUUGGGAAGGAAAGGAUUUAUUUGGCUGGAGACAGGACCUGAAGCAGAGAGCAUAGAACACUGCUUACUGGCUUGCUCAGUUUGCUUUCUAAAACUGCACGGUACGACCCGUAGUGGGCUGGGCCCUCUCACAUCAUCAAGAAAAUGCCCAGACAAGCCUAUAGGCCUAUGUGGUGGAGGCCAUUCUUUAAUGCUCCUUCUUCCCAGGGAACUGCAGCUUGUGUUGGGCUCUCAAAAACUUUUCCUUAGCAGGCACAAGGUCUUGGACUGAAUCUCCAGUGUAAGGAUCAUCUGAGCAAAAAGGAUUUUAAAAAAUUCCAUUCAAACGAUGUUUUUUGAAUACUUCCAAUAAAAUACCAAAAGAUGAACUUAUGUACAAGGAUGAAUAUAAGUUCAGGGGGUGAGUAAAACAGGAACCCUGCAACUAUAAUCCCACAAGUCUACUGAAUCAUUAAUUGGCUCUAAUAAAGUUCGUGAACGAUUUGCCUUGGUUUUCAGAGAGGAGAGAACUUCAGGACCCCGCUGAGACACAGCCAAGAACUGUUCCUUAAGGCAGGGAGGGGGCUGGGAGAAACAGCCUCCAACCCGGCAUACCUCCAGGGGUGGGGCUGGAGGCCUUGUCCCCUCUGCGGCUGCCAGAAGC
rnacentral:lncRNA from 1 species